rnacentral:rRNA from 1 species
GUGAUUGCAGAUUCAGUGAAUCAUCGAGUCUUUGAACGCACAUUGCGCCCCCUGGUAUUCCGGGGGGCAUGCCUGUCCGAGCGUC